rnacentral:lncRNA from 1 species
AUUUGUGCACCCUCCUUUUCUUAUAUUUCUUGCACGCCCAAAAGGCUUCUCAAAUCAUCAUAUGGAACUUCAUUAGAGGCACCCCCUUUAUCCUUAAUAAUUAGGGAUUACUUAGGGUUAAUUAGGAGUCCUAUCUAGAGAAGGACUCCUUUUAUUGCCGCCUCCUUAAGUUUGGCGCCAUUUUUUCUCCACACCAUAAUUUUCCACAGUAA